CUGUGACAACGACACAGCAAGAGAUUCCGGUUAAAUAUUCAUGCUGACGGGCCACUCUGAAAACAACUUGCGUCCUCCUCCACAGAGGGAAAAGAAAACUGCUUUCAUCAUGUGGGAUUUUUACACGAGACAAGUUGGCAAGUGUGUCAGGUUAUGGUGACAUCUUGCAGCAAAUUCAGACGGGCCCACGUCGCGCUCGCCGUGAUGCGGCUUCCUGGGGGGGUUCGGCCAGGCAUGAGGAGAGGGGAAUGACGACUGGCAGAAGACCUGAAGCUGUGACUAUCAAGAGGGAGGAAAUACACAUUUGGGAGAUCAUUAAACUUACAUGGAGACUGGAGCCAUAUCUAUUCUAUAUUGAGUUGAAUCUAUUCUUGGCUUACAAAGACAACCGCAUUUUGUAUUAACUGCUUUGAAAUCAACUUGGAGUUACCAAUUGCUGGCAGAUACCUAAUUUUUCCAUUUCUUCUUGAACUGACCAUAACCUUUCUGACUUGCUCUGAAAAAUGGGCUGAUUUUCGAAAUCUACCCAGAGUUGGACUGCUUAUCAAGCUUUAGGAAGCACAGCACUUUUUUUUUUUUUUGACGCACAUCAACCAGAGGAUUUAAAAUGUCGCUUUUUUUUCCUUCUUCCGUGACUGAAUAAUCACUCAUGAUGGAUCACUUUCAGUUUUGAUGGGUCUUUCUGUCAUCAAGGCUCUGACCAUAUCUAAUUCCUCAAACAAGAAAGCAGGACAGCAAACUGUCGCUCAUCCCGAAGCCGUGAAAAGACCAGCUUGGUGUUUGUGAACGUUGGUGCAAGGACUAUCGAAGAUCUCUGCUAAACAUGCUUUGAAUGACGGUGUAGACCUGCGUGUGCCAGCCAAGCUUUGAAGCCAGCUGUGUCUGAACCCCCCCCCCCCCCACGCUGCCCACCCUGCCCCAAAGUCACUCAGAGCUGCAUGUGUUGCCUGGAUUGUGCCUACUAGCAACAGAGCGGGACUUGAACAGCGGUGGUGAGCGGGGGCACUGGGAAGAAGAGAAUAGGAAGGAGAAAGAAACCAACAGGCGAAAGGAUGGGAAAAAAUUGACAUCAUGCUCGGGUAAACAGAAGAAAGAAAAGAGUUUCUGUUUGCCCCAGGUGCAAUGUGUGGCGUGGCGCCCAGUGGCGGUGGCGUUCUGUGAUGGUAACCAUGAUCACCGGCAGCCACUAUAUCUGCAGCAGUCACGCAAGAGAGGACGACUCAACGAACGAUCGAGAGGAGCGAAUUUUAGCUGUGCUGGGCAUCAUCGGGACCGUUCUCAAUCUUUUAGUGGUCAUAUUCGUCUACAUCUACACCUCUGUCACUUAAAACCUUCAGACAGAUUUGAACAAGAACGACCGGUGUCCACCCGACGUCCCUUCCGCCGUACUUCUCUUCAAGUAUUGAUGUGCUUGGAGGGUUAGAUCAUGAUGCGCUACGACAGAAGGAUCCUUGGCAGUGUGUACAGCUGAAUUGUGGCCAACUGUGAGUGUAUCAAUUCACGGCUGGAAGAAAAGUCCUUCCCGAGUUACUGAAGACUACUGCCAAAUGUCACGACAGCGAGGUGUUCCACGAGGCAUCUUCCUUCGCAUAUCGAACUUGUCAUCUCGAGACAGCCUCAUUGCUGACACUGACUUCCCGUCGUAGUCAUGACUCGGCAUUUCUAUGAAAUUGGGAUUUGAUCCAAUGGUGGGUUUUACUGUGCUGUUUUUUUUCCACACGAGACGAGUAAAAAGUAGCUCAUGUGAGUGUUUGUGUUCAUACGGUGAGCUUUUGUUUCACUGCCAGAUGAAUAUUCACCCAGACGAACCAAACAGAUGGAAGCUGACUAACUAAACGGCCGCUAAGAACUAUCGACGGACGGACCUUUGUGCCUCGCCUUCAAAGUUGUAAAUGAACGCAUGUCAGUUGCUGUCGUGAGCGGCAUUCAAAAAACCCAAACAUUUCCAUGGAUCUAACGUGUCCACACCUGAGCACGCCAGAGGAGAGAUUUCUGGCAGUGCUCGGGGUCAUCGGCAUCAUGCUCAAUCUCUUGCUGCUCGCCUUUGUCUACAUAUACACAUCCAUUUGAGAAACUGCUUAUUCAAAACACACUAUUAGCACAUGUGAUUCCUGUGCACAAGGCAUAUUUCCUGUAAACGUGUAUAUAUACUUGAGCAAAUACUGGAUUUCAUAUCUGCAUUAUAUGUAUCUGAAAAUUAGGUAUUCAUAUCCUCGAUAUGUAUCGGACAUUUUGACUGAAGUUUUGCACCCUUCAGGUUGAAUCGCAAAAAUCGAGAGGAACAUCACGACACGUUUGCUUACGCUUGCUUCGCCGUGACCUUAGCGAUGCUCGAAACAAGUUGACAGAUGUAACUGAAUUCAUGUUUUGUUUUUUUUUUUGCACUAUAUGCCUGUUCAUGUUCAAAUUAUAAAACACAGCAAGAUGGAACAAGAGGUUGUUGACAAGUCACCGUGCGCAGCGCCUCAUCGUAAGAGCAAAGAUCCCACUACGGAUGCUCAGUGUCAGAGAAUAAUGGUUUAUUUCCUGUUGCCAUGCCUCUUUGUUUGGAGCUCGAAGGCAGUCACGGAGGACUGCCAGCGGUGGGAGCGUUUGAAAAUGAAACAAUGUCACCCAAAUCAAGAUCGUGUGAUUCUGCAACACGACUUAAAGGUGCAGAAUGUUUGCAAAGGAAAUGAGAGGAACCAGUGAGGAUUCUCUGAAAAAAAGAGGGCCUGAAGCAUCCGCGCAAUGGUUUGUCACCACAACUAGCUGCCAGUUACAGCUUUUCCACUGAAGGUGGAUGCCAUUGUGGAUAUUAUUUGGGGUACUGUGCAAUGAAGGGAGGAGAAAAUGCACACGCCGAGAAAGCAGGAAGGACAGGUCUGAAUCUUCAUCUGAUCCUCAUCAUUCGCUCCUCUACCAGCAAGCUAAAACCAGAGAAGACAUAAUACCAACUGGACCCAGAUGUAACUGCAGCAAAGCACAUCCCUUUUUUAUAUUGCUAUCUGUAUAUCUAAAUCUUGAGGGCAAGCUCACUAUGAGUCACAGACGCAACCUGAAAGUUAUGGCCAGGGCUAGACAAAUUAACAGUUAUUCCUUUUCUGAUGACAUGAUUAAGCCUUUACUCUUAGUUUUUCAAGCAAAAGAGAUAAGCAUAAAUGAAGUAAAGCUAAAGUAAUAAUAAACGGCAAACAACAGUGCAGCUGAAAGCACAGCUGAUGGGCAGACAUGACUUGACGUUAUUUUCCAAAAAUGAGUUUUAUUUUAUUUUGACAAGAGAAGUUGCUCGCCAUCGUUCUUUGAUGGCACCUCCAAAUGUGACGUUGAGUAGGUUGUGCAAGGUAUGUCCUCAAAAACGGGCAAGCCACCAAUCCAGUUGAAUCAUUUCGACAAGUACCGUCUCAAGUGAGAAUGUGGAACGUAUGAAAAUGCGCAAACGGCCACUGUAGCGCUCGUAGUUUAGCCGCAAGUAGCUAGCUGUGCAGCCACCAGACCAAAGCAGCAAUCAAUGGAGUCAUCUUUUGAUGAUGCACAUUUGCAAAGAGCGAUGAUGUUAACAUCCUGAGUAGGAUCAUAACUUGACAAUUAUCAUGUUGACAUUUUAACGCUUAUUCAUUAUUCCCGAGGGGUCCAUUUUUCGUAGUCCACUGUGUUAUUUUAUGUUCUACAUUUGUUUGACUGUUUGCUACAUUGCUAUCGUCAUACGUGUAAGAUGAAAACAAGAGCAUUAGGAUGCAAACAUCUACAUACUAACAAAUUAAAGUUGCAACAGUAAAGCCACUGGAUUGUAUCAUAUCUCACAAAAACAGUCCUCUUGAAUUGUGAAAAGCUAAUACAUAAAGUAUUUAACCAGCAAAAGCCAAGCUCUUACCAAUGUGACUUUUUAAAGACUAAAAAAUAUGUAUAUGUAUAUUUUUUCGAAAUUAAAUAUUUUCCUUGUGAUCCUGAGCAUUUUCACAUUCAAAAAUGUCAAUGUUUAUCCCUACUACUUUGAGUGAUGGAUGAUUAAGCCAUGGUUAAUUCUGAAGACCUCUCACAAGCUUUGAAGAAGAACAAUAAAAUAACAGCAAUUGCUGUGAUGCUCUUGUUACCAAUAAUUACAUGACCAAAAUAUUCAGAAUUAUUUAUGAACAUUUCUCUGAUACUUAAUGAUUUAUUAUUAUUUUUUAAUGACUCUCACUCAUUGUUUCCAGGUCUGCAAUUGAAGUAUAUUACUCUUAUUUUCUGCAUGGAUUUCAGGUUAAAUUUUUUUGGUCAAAUUUGGUUGAGAACAUUUUUAACAUUACAGACUCAAAGUUGAUAAAAGAGGAAAGCCCAGAGGACAGGUCCAGGCCAUCUGCUGUGCCCACAGACACCCAGCCACCCCAUCAAUGUACACACACACACACACACACACACACACACACACACACACACACACACACACACACACACACACACACACUUUCAAUGUAAAAUAAUGUUUUUGUGUGUUCAUAUUGGUGCCUAUUUUUAAAGCGCGUUUGUUACCACAGGAAAAACAACAGCGCACACCUUGGACUGCAUGCGCAAGACUGAAGUAUUAGCAUUAUACUGUUUCUACAUUCUGCAUCUGUAUUCAGAAAUGUUGAUUCGGAGUCUGAGCCUGUCAGCGAGGAUAAAAUUAAAUUUUCACAUUUUUUGAUGAUGCAUUCCAUGAAUUGAUUUUCAGCCUGAGAGGGCAUCUUGGACUAAGCCUGUCUGAGACUGGGAAAAAAAGCUUCUGCAUAAGAAAGUGCUGGAAAUGUGUAAUUGCUGAUGAAUAUUGAGGAGCAAGUCAUUGCAGGAUAAAAAUAAAUGCCAGUAUGCAUGGCAAGGCAAUAUUGCUUUUAAUGAAAUCAAACACAAGGAAAAUAGGAAGGUUCUUGAUUUUUUAAAAAGAAAAUUCAUACUUACAAUUCUA